rnacentral:rRNA from 1 species
CACCAGGUUGAUUCUGCCUGACGUAUGUGCUUGUCUUGAAGAUUUAGCCAUGCAAGUUAGUGAAACAUUAAAAGUGAAACGACAGACAGCUCAGUAAUACAGUAAUGAUUAACUUGUUAAUAACUGGAUAACCUUGGUAACCUAAGGGUAAUACAGUAAAAGUAGAAAUAUGGUGAAACAUUUCUAUUUGAAACAAUUAAGUUUCUGACCUAUCAGCUAUAUUUUAAGGUAAUGUCUUCAAAUGGCUACGACGGGUAACGGAGGAUCAGGGUUCGAUUCCGGAGAGGGAGCCUGAGAAAUAGCUACCACGUCUAAGGAUGGCAGCAGGCGCGAAAAUUACCCAAUUCCUUAAUGGGAGAGGUAGUGAAGAGACAUGAAUUUAAAUUAAAUCGAGUAGAUACAGUAAAAAUGUGUUGAAGCAACUGGGGGGCAAGUCUGGUGCCAGCAGCCGCGGUAAUUCCAGCUCCAGUAGCGCAUAUAAUAAUUGCUGCAGUUAAAAUGUCCGUAGUUGAUUUAUUAAAGUUUUACUAUGAGUAAAAUAUAGUGCUCAAAACUAUAAGUAAGCAUGGGACUUAAAAAUAAUAGGAACAGAUGAUGGCAAUAGUAUUCAAUAGUUAGAGGUGAAAAUUUAAGACCUAUUGAGGACUAACAGAAGCGAAAGCGAUUGUCAAGGAUGUAUCCAUUAAUAAAGGACUUAAGCUAGAGUAUCGAAGAUGAUUAGAUACCGUCGUAGUUCUAGCUGUAAACGAUGCCAACUAGGUGAUGCUGUAAAGGCUAUGCUUUAGGAGAAAUCAAAGUCUAUGGGCUCUGGGGAUAGUACGACAUCACUGUUGAAACUUAAAGAAAUUGACGGAAGAAUACCACAAGGAGUGGAUUAUGCGGCUUAAUUUGACUCAACGCGGGACAACUUACCAGUGCCGAACUCGGAUGAGAAUUUUUAUUAAAAUGAUUUUGAGGAAGGUGGUGCAUGGCCGUUUUCAACACGUGGGGUGACCUGUCAGGUUAAUUCCGAUAACGCGUGAGGCACAUGAAAUAUUGUAAAAUAUUUGACGGAUGAUAAGAAAUCAUAGGAAGUUGGGCUAUAACAGGUCAGUGAUGCCCCUAGAUGUUCUGGGCUGCACGCGUACUACAAUGAUAUAUUUAAAAUAAGUAUUGAGAAAUAUAAUUAAAUAUAUAUCGAAGCUGGGAUAAGCUAUUGUAAAUUAGUUUUGAACUUGGGAUUCCUAGUAAUCAUAAGUCAUUAUGUUAUGAUGAAUGCGUCCCUGUUCUUUGUACACACCGCCCGUCACUAUCUAAGAUGGAUGUAUAUGUGAAAUGGCUAGACGUAAAACGAAAGCAG